AGCGAACGCUGGCGGCAGGCUUAACACAUGCAAGUCGAGCGGGCCCUUCGGGGUCAGCGGCGGACGGGGGAGUAACGCGGGGGAACGUGCCUUCUGGUCUGGAAUAACCCUGGGAAACUAGGGCUAAUACCGGAUACGCCCCUUUGGGGAAAGGUUUACUGCCGGAAGAUCAGCCCGCGUCUGAUUCGCUAGUUGGUGGGGUAACGGCCUACCAAGGCGACGAUCAGUAGCGGGUCUGAGAGGAUGAUCAGCCACACUGGGACUGAGACACGGCCCAGACUCCUACGGGAGGCAGCAGUGGGGGAUAUUGGACAAUGGGCGCAAGCCUGAUCCAGCCAUGCCGCGUGAGUGAUGAAGGCCUUAGGGUUGUAAAGCUCUUUUAUCCGGGACGAUAAUGACGGUACCGGAGGAAUAAGCCCCGGCUAACUUCGUG
rnacentral:rRNA from 1 species